UGGGGAAUUGUUCACAAUGGGCGCAAGCCUGAUGACGCAACGCCGCGUGGGGGAUGAAGGUCUUCGGAUCGUAAACCCCUGUCGAAUGGGACGAAAGACUCGCGAGUGAAUACUUCGCGAGAGUGACGGUACCGUUAAAGGAAGCCACGGCUAACUCUGUGCCAGCAGCCGCGGUAAUACAGAGGUGGCAAGCGUUGUUCGGAAUUACUGGGCGUAAAGGGCGCGUAGGCGGCCCUCUAAGUCAGACGUGAAAUCCCCCGGCUUAACCUGGGAACUGCGUCUGAUACUGGAGGGCUUGAGUAUGGGAGAGGGAUGUAGAAUUCCAGGUGUAGCGGUGAAAUGCGUAGAUAUCUGGAGGAAUACCGGUGGCGAAGACGGGUUGCUGGGCUGACACUGACGCUGAGGCGCGAAAGCCAGGGGAGCAAACGGGAUUAGAUACCCACGUAGUCCCUGAGCGGGCUGGCAAGGCGCAU
rnacentral:rRNA from 1 species